UCAUAAAACGCUAUCCCUAACUUUAAUACCUCCAUAUUCUCCCAUUAUCCAUCUUCUUCAUACCCAGAUUGUCAGAAGAUUCUCUCUAUCUCGUAGCAAAUCCAAGGCACCAAGAUUCCCAUUGUUAGGCAAAGGAAGCUCACCGGCUUUGUGAGCGAACCAAGGUGUCUCCGCUUCCCAAAUUCCUCUCCUUCACUCUCUGCGGAAAUUCCUAAAUCAUUCUUCAGUCUCCAAAUCAACAUUGCUGGAAUGGCAGCCAUUUCAAAUGUCACGGGAUGAGGUCACGGCGGGAGCUCAGUAAGGUCUCAGUUUCAGUCACUUCCUGGAUUGAUGUCUCCGAUCUUUUGGCCCUUUAAGAUAUAAAGGACAUGGACAAGCCUUUGGAAAGAAACACAACCUUGCUAGUCCCUUGAAGUGGAACACCAUUUGUGUGAAUUAAGCAGGAUACAAUUAUGUUCAAUGCCUAAUUCAAUCUUAAACUGAUGGAACAUUGGUUGAAUUUAAUUCACAUUGCUGGGAUGCGAAUCAUUCAAAAGGAAGUUGAUUGGUAAUAAGAACAAACUGCUACUACUGAACAUUAUUGAGACCCAAAAGUGGGGAGAUGCAUACAGCAUACGCAAAAAAUAUUCAGUAUUCAGACAGUGCUCGAGUCCGAAUGAACAUAUGCCAAGUGAGCUGAAGAAAGUUAUUGUGCAAGCUUGAAUGGAUGAGAAGCUUACUCAAGCUGAGUUUGCUCAAGUAGCACCCUCUCCAUAGAUAGACAAAGCAGAGAGAGAACCCGAGUUGUGAGACGCAGUGAGGCAAGAAGAGGAUCUGGUAUUAAAAGAGAAUCAAAAUAUCUGUAACGUAUUAACUACAUCAAUAUAUUGAUUUAUAUCCACACUAUUUGGAAGAAUCAUUGUUGGAUGAAACUGUUGGAAUGGUCCAGUAUCAAAGUAUGAAGAACAGGCUUGUGAAAAAGAUGUGUACGCAUGGCUCUUGAAGUUCUUUAUGCCUAUCUAGAAGACUUGAACAAAUGCUGUUAACAAUUUAAUUUAGCUAGCUUUAUGUCUGUUUUAUAGUUAAUCAACUUGAAGAUUGAGUCCCAUGAACUGGUAAUCAUUUGGCUCUCUGUGUAGUUAUAUUCUUUGUGAAAAUAUAGCAUGUACUUGUGUAAAUCUACUUCUUUGAUCCAUCAAAGUUAUCCUUUUGUUUUUG
rnacentral:lncRNA from 1 species